GGCGGGGCGCAGAGGCUGCAAGCAACACACGUGUGGCGGCCGCGAUGAAGUUCGCGUACCGGUUUUCAAAUUUGCUGGGGACAGUCUAUCGGUGUGGAAACUUAAAUUUCACGUGUGAUGGAAAUUCAGUUAUUAGUCCCGUGGGAAACAGAGUCACUGUGUUUGACCUAAAAAACAACAAGUCCGACACUCUGCCUCUGGCCACUCGGUACAACAUCAAGUGUGUGGGGCUGUCCCCGGACGGCCGCCUCGCCAUCAUUGUCGAUGAAGGGGGCGACGCGCUGCUCGCCGGCCUGGUCUGCAGGGCCGUGCUGCACCGCUUCCACUUCAAGGGCGCUGUGCACAGCGUCUCCUUCUCCCCCGAUGGCAGGAAAUUUGUUGUCACCAAAGGCAACCUUGCUCAGAUGUACCACGCCCCUGGGAGGAAGCGGGAAUUCAACGCGUUUGUUCUGGACAAAACCUACUUCGGGCCGUACGAUGAGACCACAUGCAUUGACUGGACAGACGACUCCCGGUGCUUUGCGGUCGGGAGCAAAGACAUGUCCACGUGGGUGUUUGGGGCCGAGCGGUGGGACAACCUCAUCUACUACGCGCUGGGGGGACACAAGGACGCCAUCGUGGGCUGCUUCUUCGAGUCCAGCAGCCUGGACCUGUACACGCUCAGCCAGGACGGCGCCCUGUGCGUGUGGCAGUGUGACACCCCCCCUGAGGGCCUGAGGCUGAAAGCCCCCGCGGGCUGGAAGGCGGACCUGCUGCAGAGGGAGGACGAGGACGAGGACGAGGACGGGGACGGGGCGGAGGGGGAGACCACCAUCCGCGGGAAGGCCGCGCCGGCUGCCGAGGAGCAGCGGGGGAAAGUGCAGUACUCGCGGGUGGCCAAGUACUUCUUCAAUAAAGAAGGAGAUUUCAACCAUCUGACAGCUGCAGCGUAUCACAAGAAGGUCCACCUCUUGGUCACUGGUUUUGCUUCCGGAAUCUUCCACCUUCACGAGCUCCCGGAGUUCAACCUCAUCCACUCCCUGAGUGUCUCGGAUCAGAGGGUCUCGUCCAUUGCCAUCAACGGCUCUGGGGACUGGAUCGCCUUCGGGUGCUCAGGCCUGGGCCAGCUGCUGGUGUGGGAGUGGCAGAGCGAGUCCUACGUGCUCAAGCAGCAGGGCCACUUCAACAGCAUGGUGUCCCUGGCCUACUCCCCCGACGGGCAGUACAUUGUGACCGGCGGGGACGACAGCAAGGUCAAGGUGUGGAACACCCUCAGUGGCUUCUGCUUCAUCACUUUCACGGAGCACUCGAGUGGGGUCACCGGCGUGACCUUCACCACCACUGGCUACGUCAUCGUGACCUCUUCCAUGGACGGGACCGUGCGCGCCUUUGACCUUCACAGGUACCGCAACUUCCGCACCUUCACAUCCCCGCGCCCCACCCAGUUCUCCUGUGUGGCCGUGGACUCGAGCGGGGACAUCGUCUCUGCUGGGGCCCAGGACUCUUUUGAGAUCCUCAUCUGGUCCAUGCAGACAGGCAGGCUCCUCGACGUUUUGUCCGGCCACGAGGGGCCCAUCAGUGGUCUGUGUUUUAACCCAAUGAAGUCGGUCUUGGCCAGCGCCUCCUGGGACAGGACGGUACGUCUGUGGGACAUGGCGGACAGCUGGAGGACCACAGAGACGCUGGCCCUCACCUCCGACGCUCUGGCCGUGACCUUUCGCCCUGACGGUGCCGAGCUGGCUGUGGCCACGCUGAACUCGCAGAUCACCUUUUGGGACCCUGAAAGCGCGGUGCAGACGGGCUCCAUCGAGGGCAGGCACGACCUCAAGACGGGAAGGAAGGAGCUGGACAAGAUCACUGCCAAGCACUCGGCCAAGGGGAAGGCCUUCACCACUCUGUGCUACUCUGCGGACGGCCAGAGUAUCCUGGCGGGAGGGAUGUCCAAGUUUGUGUGCAUCUAUCACGUCAAGGAGCAGAUUCUCAGGAAGAAGUUCGAGAUCUCCUGCAACCUCUCUCUGGACGCCAUGGAGGAAUUUUUGAACCGAAGGAAAAUGACAGAGUUUGGCAACCUGGCACUCAUUGACCAAGACGCUACGGAGGAGGGCGGGGUCACGAUACCGUUGCCGGGCGUAAAGAAGGGUGACAUGAGCUCCCGGCACUUCAAACCUGAGAUCAGGGUGACUUCGCUCCGCUUCUCUCCCACCGGGCGCUGCUGGGCGGCCACCACCACCGAGGGGCUGCUUAUCUACUCCCUGGACGCCCGGAUGCUCUUCGACCCGUUCGAGCUGGACAGCAGCGUGACGCCUGCGCAGAUCCGGGCGGCGCUGCGCCAGCGGGACUUCACCAGGGCCAUCCCCAUGGCCUUCCGGCUUCACGAGAGGAAGCUGCUGCAGGAGGCCCUGGAGUCGGUGCCCUGGGACCAGAUUGGGGUCAUCAGCUCCUCCCUGCCUGACUUGUACGUGGAGAAGGUGCUGGAAUUUUUAGCUUCGUCCUUCGAAGAGUCUCGCCAUCUAGAAUUCUACCUCAUAUGGACUCAGAAACUGCUUAUGGUCCACGGACAGAAGCUCAAGUCCAGAGUGGGGACACUGCUGCCGGCAGUUCAGUUCCUGCAGAAGAGCAUCCAGCGCCACUGGGACGACGUCUCCAAACUCUGCGACUGGAACCGCUACAAUAUGCAGUACGCUCUGGCCGUUUCUAAGCAGCGGGGCCUGAAGCGGCCCUCGGAACCACCGGGCAGCGAGGAGGAAGCAGAUGCAUCCGAGGACGAUGACAGCAGCCUGCACCUGCUCAGGAGAGGACCUGGGGAUGGAGACGGGCCGCUGGCCUAGGGCUGGCCGCCUGCAGCCCUGCUGGCUUCGGUUGGGAUGUUGGGCAAGGUGGGAUCUCCACCGCGGGGGGCAGCCGGGACGCAAGGGCACUGUCGCCAGGACUCAUUCUCCAAGAAUCAAACGCGGCCACGGGGUCAGUGCGUGAGCUGACGGGUCCCUGGCAGGCAUGGGCUUGGCACCCAGGGCCCAGGAGUGUCUACCGUCGAAAGCACCCUGCGGAGAGAGCUCGGACCACCGUUCAUCCACAAGCCAGGACACCCUAGCAAGUGGGAGCCACUGAAAACUAUAACCUUCCAACUUGUAACUAUUCUGUGGAGAAAUCUAAAAUGAGCCAGAAGAGGAACUGACCCAAACCAAAGAUGGUCAAGCCUUCCAAGGAUACUCCCAACUUGCCUGGAGGGCCUUAGAACACACUGCCUACCAAGAGCCCAUCAAAUGGCAAAAAUGGGUUCAAGCACACCAAAAUAAGAGUUGGUGUAAUAGGCCCCCAAACAAAGAAGCCUGCAGCUCACCAGACCCUACAAGCUGGCCCCAUUCUCACGUCACUCACGUGCCACUAACUCAUCUUUGGCCCCAGCCCGCUGGCCUCUGCAGAAACACACAUGGAUGACGAUGUGGACAUCAGGAGGAUGUGUGUUCCUUCCUUGGGGCCCAGAGAGCCAAAACCUAAAGGAAAUGUCCCCAGCAAAGCCCACUGGGGUCUCCGGGAAAAACAGGAUGGAAUCCAGGUGAUACGGUCCAACCUCUUUUGUGUUUAUUCUACUUUUACUUGCCUGUAGGGGGCCUCGUGCAGAGGCUUCCCACCUAACGUGUCGGAUUAGUGUUCCCAGUGCAAAGCGGCUCUGCCUGACAGCCCAACUGGGUGAGCCGUGUGCAGAAGUGCUGCACCCGCCUGACCCACAAUGACUCCACCCUUCCCUCUGCCAGAACCCUAUAAAGCAGCACCGCCCCUGGGCCUUUCAGGGGAGACCCUGUGCUGUAGAGCAAGCUCCCAUCUCUCCAUUCUUUGAUCAAAGAAUACAGCUUUCCUUUGCUUCUCAACUGAACUUGGUCUCUGUCUACUGGUGCGAGUGACACGGGGCAGAAGGAUGCUUAUUGGUGCCCGACUCAAAAGGGUCGGUAACACGUCCACCCCAGGAGAGCAGACAAAAGGAAGGCGGCCUCAGACUUAAUAGUCACGGGCAUAGGCUUAGCACCAGGAUGAGCAGCCCCACGGGGACGGGGGUGCCUAUCACGAGGCCACCCUUCAAAACCUACCUGCCUCAGUGGAGGAACUGGCCAAAACGCCAGCCUCUAGUUAGACUGACUAAAGAUCGUGGUGCGUUCCAUAGCCAAUGUAGUAAUGGAUACCAGAACAGCCUCCAGUUACCCCGUGACAGAACAAGGCGGCGUCUGUGUGGCUGCAACACCUGCUGGUGCGUGUGGACAAGUGCCACACACCACCCAGCGUAAAGGAAAUAACAUCAACAGGCCAGCUGGUGACACAGCAUUGGUAAUCGCGCCCCGGAGGCAUGCAAUUCUGUAAAGGGCUUUCUCCCCAGUAAGUCGGCCAUUUACUCCAUCCACUGACACUUCCUUGAGUCACAGCGCUACUGAUUCUUCUGUUGGGCCUAUAAUUCUUAACUUCCAUGUCAAGUUUGUCUCUCAAAGACUGCAGGCCACCAGAUUAUGCCUCUGUCGUGUCAACCCUGAAUUGGGGGCAUACCAACACCUCCAAUAGUCCAGUUUGAAUACCCUAGAAUGUGGACAGCUAGACGCCAAACUGUUUCAUUCCUCAAGCCCCUCCUGGGCCUUCGUCCUUGGCAGCAGAAAGCGGCUAGAGCGGCGGUCACCCCUCAUCCCUCAAGAUUGAGGAAGGAUCCAAAGACAGGCAUGGACUGAAAUCACCACUUGUGAGUUAUAAAGCCCACGAGGUAGAAACAAAAUGACACAGAGAACACCAAGCUCCUUCUGCAGAGAACCAGGGAAACAAACUUGCUGACAGCCCCGCCGACUGAGCACUGCGCAGCCACACUGAAGGACUAGAACGAGGGACUACAAUAGUGACCUUUAGACGUCACGGGCCAAAACCCCACUGCAUGUUACACCCGGGACCGCCAAUUUGCACCCGCGACCGGUCAGAGGCUUAACGAGCAGCCCCAGCGCCUGCGCAGGAGAGCUCUUGAUACUUACACUGAAACUUACACUUACUUUCCACCAAUCAUAUCCGAGCCCCCUCCCCUUCUUGCUCCCUACUUCCUGAUAAAUACCCCCUCAGCAGGCCCCGGGGACACAGAUCUGAGCUUUGCACCGCACCUCUACGUCCCUUCUUGCUUGGCCCCCCUAUGAUAAACCUCUUUCUCUGCAAAGACCUGGCCUCAUACCUGGCCUUUCCUCUCCACAACCAGCUGGGUUACAAAAGGACCCACGUCAAUGGAAAGGCGAAGAGCAGCAGGGGGAGGGGCGCCAGACCGCUGCAGCGGGAGGGCUUCACUCCGGCCCGGACUCAGCGGCCGGGAAAGGGGGGCGCAGAUGAGAACUGGACACUUGGGCGCCGGCCACUAGGUGUCGCGGAGUCACGUUGAGGCCUCCUGACGACACCGAAGUUAACUUUCCAGAGCCCGUAUCUCAGCGCAGCGCUUCUCGGCAACCGCGACCCUGCGCGCCGCCCGGCGACGCCCCCCGCGGGGCGGGACGGAGACGGUGUCCGAAGCCGCGCUGACCCACUGCAGAGCCACGCGC